rnacentral:lncRNA from 1 species
CAGACACGGAUGUCUGCAUUCCAAAGGACUCUGAGCACCUCAAGUGGGAGGCGGUGUGUUCUGUUUCCACGGCAUCCUCCCAAGGCACUUAGCCCUGGGUCAGCUGUAGAGUAUUUGCUAAAUAACGAACCUUCCGUAAUCAAUGGACAUUAGGCCUCUGUGGUGGAGGAAGAACCGUGGCUGGGAAGUCAAAGUGCCUUAGUGAUGACGAAAGGCCAGCCACGUGGCUGGGGCUCGAAGCGCCAGUUAAGAGUCAAGCUUGACAAGCGAUACGUCCAGCUGGGAAAGGAGGAUUCCACUGGGUCUCACCUGCUUUCCCUUGCGCAGGACCAAGACGAAACAUGGUUAAGUGCUGACACCAUCGAGCAUUCAGGAUUUAUCCUGGCAAAGGCAUCAGAGUCCGCUAAAAAUAACUGCCUAUUGUCUUACCUCUGACAUUGCUGAGGGAUGUGACACUUACCCGGAGAAAUCCAGAAAGGCAGACGGACAUCCAGUUUGUGAGG